rnacentral:rRNA from 1 species
UGGGGAAUAUUGCACAAUGGGCGCAAGCCUGAUGCAGCCAUGCCGCGUGUAUGAAGAAGGCCUUCGGGUUGUAAAGUACUUUCAGCGGGGAGGAAGGCGAUAAGGUUAAUAACCUUGUCGAUUGACGUUACCCGCAGAAGAAGCACCGGCUAACUCCGUGCCAGCAGCCGCGGUAAUACGGAGGGUGCAAGCGUUAAUCGGAAUUACUGGGCGUAAAGCGCACGCAGGCGGUCUGUCAAGUCGGAUGUGAAAUCCCCGGGCUCAGACUGGGAACUGCAUUCGAAACUGGCAGGCUAGAGUCUUGUAGAGGGGGGUAGAAUUCCAGGUGUAGCGGUGAAAUGCGUAGAGAUCUGGAGGAAUACCGGUGGCGAAGGCGGCCCCCUGGACAAAGACUGACGCUCAGGUGCGAAAGCGUGGGGAGCAAACA